CACAUGGCUAAGGAAAACAGAUGCAAUACAAAUAAACACACUCUUCUGCUGACUCAGAAUUUCUGGAGACGCUCUAUUUCAUCAAGUUUGUCUCAUUUACAAAAUGUUGCCCUGGGAAACCUAAAGGAAUUAAGAAAUACUAGCAAGAAUCACCAAAUAUUCCAGAGACAGAAGAUAAGAAUGCUGCUAGUGUCCCCAAGUACAAAAGAAAUCUAAGAUCAAUUUCAGAAAUCGAGAUGUUAAUGGAAAUUAAACAAAACAAAAAUAAAUCAAGAUGAUUAUAAACUAAAGAAAAAUUUAAAACUUGCCCAAAGUUUGGAAACCUGAAAUGUGAGACUUUAACCCUAAUAUCAAGUUGGACAUUUUGGAAAAGAAGCUUCUCAAGACAUUUCUCAAGCAAAAAAUUACUUUUAAUGUUGAUCCUUUAAUUAACAAAAGCAGCUAAGAUUCAAUCAGAAGGGAAUUUGGAUCCAUUGACUACUUCCAGUCUGACACGUAAGCACUCAUCCCAAAGAAUCUUCAGCUCCAGGAUCUGGUGGAUACUUGGUUUACAAGUUUAUGUAAUUACUUUUCCAUUUCUUAAAAAUUAAAAAUAAAAAGAUGUGAAGUUUCUAAUUCAACUUGUUGAUAAUAGAGCAUACUAUACAGAACCUAAUUAAAGUGAACUCUGAUUUUUACACAAAUCUUGGUUUACAUCCCAAUAACUUAAAAAGAAAUGGCUUUAUUAUAUUUAUUUUGUAAUUUCUUCCUGGCAAAAUUAGUUUACAAAUUACAUGAAAAUGUAACUGUAACACUUUGUUUUUC
rnacentral:lncRNA from 1 species